CCCCUGGAGACCCUUCCCACCCUCUACACCCUCAGUUGGAGACCCUUCCCACCCUCUACACCAUCAGGUGGAGACCCUUCCCACCCUCUACACCCUCCGGUGGAGACCCUUCUCACCCUCUACACCCUCAGGUGGAGACCCUUCCCACCCUCUACACCCUCAGGUGGAGACCCUUCCCACCCUCUACACCCUCAGGUGGAGACCCUUCUCACCCUCUACACCCUCAGGUGGAGACCCUUCCCACCCUCUACACCCUCAGGUGGAGACCCUUCCCACCCUCUACACCAUCAGGUGGAGACCCCCAGAGUACCCAUGGCCAAGUAGAAUGUGUUCAAACAUUCAUUUGUUCCUCGUUCCGCUGUAGGACUACUAAAUGCUAAGUCAGUUGUGUCUGUAUAUGUACUUAUCUAUCUAGGGCAGUUGGGACAGCGGUCUGUUUUGAGUGAAUGUAUCAAUGUCCUCUAUGUUGUUAGUGUACAACAUGAUGGACUGACUGGUUUAGAUGUGUAUGAUGUGAGAAUGUACAGUACAUGUAUGUGAUUAUUUUAAUGGGUGGUGAUGCCAAAGAGAAAUGUUUAUCCUGGAUGGAC
ensembl:lncRNA